CUCCUUUCUCAUAGUUCUCAGUCAAUUUCAAAUGAUUGGCAACACUCCUCAGCUCUCCUGGCGUCAUUUGAAUUUAAACGUCCAAUAAAGAAACGCCGCCAAGCAAUCAGCAGACAUUUUAUCAGAUUUGUUUAAUAAUUUUAAUUAAAAGGCUCUUUAAUAAACAAAGGGAGGAAGAAUUUACUAAGAAAUCGAAUGAAUCUAAAGGGGAACAUGAAUACAUCGGCACAAAACCAAUCACAGUCGCAGCCGCCACGUAAAACGAAUGAACACAUUCAGGUUUACGUGCGAGUAAGGCCAUUGAAUCGCCGUGAAAAAUGCAUACAUUCCACAGAAAUUGUAGAGGUGGUGUCACACAAGGAAAUUGUGGCUCGUCAUUCUCGUUGUGGCUCGGUAUUGGAUGAAGAGAUAUAAUUCAGAAAUUUUGACAAUACUAUAAUAGAUGAUAUCUGUAUUGGAGAUUUGCGGUGGUUUGGAAAUGCGUUCUAUAUUUGCACGAAAAGUACUAAUUGGUACUAAAUUUGGUAUUGGGCGAAUAGAGCUGGAAAUUUGGUUUUGCGGUCACCGUUGAUCUUACGGUUUGAGGCAUAAAUUUGGUUUUGGAAAUGUGGUAUUAAAUUUGGUUUUGGGUGAAGCGAUGGAGCCGGAAAACCCAAAAUUUUA